rnacentral:lncRNA from 1 species
GUGAUUUUCUCAUAUAUUGUUUGUGUAAUUAAUAGUUUGAAUGUUUUAUGUUAUAUUUAUGAGAAUUUUUAAAGCGUUUAUGCAUAUUUUAAUACUACAUUUUAUGUGUUUUUAUAGAUGGAAUUCGUUAAAUACAUAUAUGCCUUCGGACGUUGAAAAAAUCGUGAAUGCUCUCCUUCAAGUUCAAAAAAAAUGAUUCUCAUUCAAACAUGGACAAACAAGAAAACAAAGCAAAAAAAAAAAAUUCAUUCCAAUUUACCUUCGGUUUGGAAUGCUCUCCUCUCUCUCAAAAAUUUCCCGAUGCUCUUUCUCCUCUCUCUCUCUUUCUCGGCUGCCUCUCUCUCUCACUCUCUCUCAAAAAAUAAACUGAUGCCGUGAAUUCAAAUUGGAAUGCGGCUAGGUUAAAAGUUCUAAUUCUUAUACAUGUAAAUG